GGGGAUGUAGCUCAGUUGGGAGAGCACCUGCUUUGCAAGCAGGGGGUCGCUGGUUCGAUUCCAGUCAGCUCCACCA
rnacentral:tRNA from 1 species